rnacentral:rRNA from 1 species
UAGCCAUGCUAGUCGCACGAGUUCAGACUCGUGGCGAAUAGCUCAGUAACACGUGGCCUAACUACCCUUCGGAACACAAUACCCUCGGGAAACUGAGGCUAAUAGUGUAUACCAUACCACCACUGGAAUGAGUGGUAUGCCAAACGCUCCGGCGCCGAAGGAUGUGGCUGCGGCCGAUUAGGUAGACGGUGGGGUAACGGCCCACCGUGCCAAUAAUCGGUAUGGGUCAUGAGAGUGAGAACCCAGAGACGGAAUCUGAGACAAGAUUCCGGGCCCUACGGGGCGCAGCAGGCGCGAAACCUUUACACUGCACGACAGUGCGAUAGGGGGAUCCCAAGUGCACAGGCAUAGCGCCUGUGCUUUUCGGUACCCUAAGGCGGUACCAGAAUAAGGGCUGGGCAAGACCGGUGCCAGCCGCCGCGGUAAUACCGGCAGCCCAAGUGAUGGCCGAUCUUAUUGGGCCUAAAGCGUCCGUAGCUGGCCGCGCAAGUCCAUCGGGAAAUCCACCUGCUCAACAGGUGGGCGCCCGGUAGAAACUGCGUGGCUUGGGACCGGAAGGCGCGACGGGUACG